ACGGCUCAGUAACACGUAGGUAACCUACCCUUCGGACGGGCACAACCCCGGGAAACUGGGGCUAAUUCCCGAUAGGUACCCCCUUCUGGAAUGUGGGGAUAUCCAAAGCUCCGGCGCCGAAGGAUGGGCCUGCGGCCGAUUAGGUUGUUGGCGGGGUAACAGCCCACCAAGCCGACGAUCGGUACGGGCAGUGAGAGCUGUAGCCCGGAGAUGGGGACUGAGACAAGGCCCCAGGCCCUACGGGGCGCAGCAGGCGCGAAACCUUCACAAUGCACGAAAGUGUGAUGAGGGUACUCCGAGUGCGCAUACAUUGUAUGUGCUUUUCUGCAGCGUAAAUAGUUGCAGGAAUAAGGGCUGGGCAAGACCGGUGCCAGCCGCCGCGGUAACACCGGCAGCCCUAGUGGUGGCCGCUUUUAUUGGGCCUAAAGCGUCCGUAGCCGGACAGGCGAGUCUUUGGGUAAAUCCUACGUCUUAAGCGUGGGAAUUCUAAAGAUACUACCUGUCUUGAGGCCGGGAGAGGCUGGAGGUACUCCUGGGGUAGGGGUAAAAUCCUAUAAUCCUGGGGGGACCACCGAUGGCGAAGGCAUCCAGCCGGAACGGGCCUGACGGUGAGGGACGAAACCCAGGGGAGCGAGCCGGAUUAGAUACCCGGGUAGUCCUGGGCGUAAAUGAUGUGGGCUUGGUGUGAGCGCAUCGACGAGGUGCGCUUGUGCCGUAGGGAAGCCGUUAAGCCCACCGCCUGGGGAGUACGGUCGCAAGGCUGAAACUUAAAGGAAUUGGCGGGGGAG
rnacentral:rRNA from 1 species